GAUGAACGCUGGCGGCGUGCCUAAUGCAUGCAAGUCGAGCGAACGGACGAGAAGCUUGCUUCUCUGAUGUUAGCGGCGGACGGGUGAGUAACACGUGGAUAACCUACCUAUAAGACUGGGAUAACUUCGGGAAACCGGAGCUAAUACCGGAUAAUAUUUUGAACCGCAUGGUUCAAAAGUGAAAGACGGUCUUGCUGUCACUUAUAGAUGGAUCCGCGCUGCAUUAGCUAGUUGGUAAGGUAACGGCUUUCCAAGGCAACGAUGCAUAGCCGACCUGAGAGGGUGAUCGGCCACACUGGAACUGAGACACGGUCCAGACUCCUACGGGAGGCAGCAGUAGGGAAUCUUCCGCAAUGGGCGAAAGCCUGACGGAGCAACGCCGCGUGAGUGAUGAAGGUCUUCGGAUCGUAAAACUCUGUUAUUAGGGAAGAACAUAUGUGUAAGUAACUGUGCACAUCCUGACGGUACCUAAUCAGAAAGCCACGGCUAACUACGUG
rnacentral:rRNA from 1 species